rnacentral:rRNA from 1 species
UUUUAAAGAAUUUUGCAUAUCAAUAAGCGGAGGAAAAGAAACCAACAGGGAUUGCCCUAGUAACGGCGAGUGAAGCGGCAACAGCUCAAAUUUGAAAGCUGGCCUUCGGGUCCGCAUUGUAAUUUGUAGAGGAUGCUUUGGGUGAAACGCCAGUCUAAGUUCCUUGGAACAGGACGUCAUAGAGGGUGAGAAUCCCGUAUGUGACUGGAAAUGUUAACCUAUGUAAAGCUCCUUCGACGAGUCGAGUUGUUUGGGAAUGCAGCUCUAAAUGGGAGGUAAAUUUCUUCUAAAGCUAAAUAUUGGCGAGAGACCGAUAGCGCACAAGUAGAGUGAUCGAAAGAUGAAAAGCACUUUGGAAAGAGAGUUAAAAAGCACGUGAAAUUGUUGAAAGGGAAGCGCUUGCAAUCAGACUUGUUUAAACUGUUCGGCCGGUCUUCUGACCGGUUUACUCAGUUUGGACAGGCCAGCAUCAGUUUCGGCGGCCGGAUAAAGGCUCUGGGAAUGUGGCCUUCACUUCGGUGAAGGUGUUAUAGCCCAGGGUGUAAUACGGCCAGCCGGGACUGAGGUCCGCGCUCGGCUAGGAUGCUGCGUAGCCCGAGG